UACGUAGGUGGCAAGCGAUACUCGGAAUCACUAGGCGUAAAGCGCAGGUAGGCGGUUUGGUAAGUCUUUUGUGAAAGCUCCUGGCUCAACUGGGAGAGGUCAAGGGAAACUACCGGACUAGAGUGUGGUAGGGGAUACUGGAAUUCCUGGUGUAGCGGUGAAAUGCGUAGAUAUCAGGAGGAAUACCUAUGGCGAAAGCAGGUAUCUGGGCCAUCACUGACGCUGAGCUGCGAAAGCUAGGGGAGCAAACAGG
rnacentral:rRNA from 1 species